GGACCCGGGGGCUGGACAGCCCGGAGUCCGCGGGCCAAGGGGACAGCGGCCUCCCGUCGGGGCCCAGACCUCGGCCCAGCCGGGACGGAGCGGGGAGGAUGCCUCGAGCUACCUGGGGACAGGGACCCCGCUCCGGCCCCAGCCCCGGCGCCCGACGCGCCAGCUGUGUGACAAGAGAACGUCAGAGCGCGAACGUGACCACGUACCCCUCUGCGGGAGUGGCGUGGACGUGUCUGAUGUGAGUCCUCCCUACCUGCCCACCAGGCCUCGUGUGCAGACGCCAGUGCUAAUGCUGCCCAGCCGCUGGUUCCGGAGCUUCGCCCUCCCCUGCAGAGGAGGUCCCAGGAAAGCCCCUAGAGAGCAGCUCUGGCAUGUGCUGACCCCCUGGACCGCCCUGCAGGGCAGGAGGAGCCCACCCCCACCCCAGCAGCCACAGAGAACCUGCUCCAGACGCCUUCACCUCCGUCCCCCAGACAGAGCACUUCUGCUGCUUCCCCAGAACAUUUCUUCCCAAAAACACUUCCCACUUCUCUGCUUGAAACCACCCGUGGCGUCCCUUGUCAUUGAGAAUAAAGCUUGGUGUUCUUUC